UUGACACAGAUGAUGCUCUUUUUCUGAGCAGACAGCUUGAGCAUUUAGUCCUAUUAUUAUUUUAUAAAAUUUUUCGUUCUUUGAAUUAGUUAAUUCUAUUCAUUUAAAUGUUUUGAUUAUUCAUAUCUUUAUUUUUUAUAUAUUGUUUUAUAAAUAGAUUCGGCUCUUCUGAUAUGCGUGCCGACUCUUAGAGCCGAGUCGUUCGCGAACGACCCAUCACAACAACUUUAACUCCAUUGGUCGGGCCGCCCAACAACAAACAAAUUGCAGGACUGUAUUCAAGCAGUCGAAAUGUUUACUCGUCUUCGUUGUUUAUUUUCAAAUAUUGUUUGAACAAACUGUUCACGUAUUGCUUGUCACCAUGGCACACUCCCUUUCUGACCUCUUGGAUGACCUGGAGCAAGAUAAAAAGAGUUGCAGCAAUGAUCAGGUGCUGGAGCAAGAGAGGGAGAUGAAAAGGAGGUGGGUUGUUGUACUCUGAUGAUACACCCACUGGAGAAGAGAGUAACUGCAUUUAUACAAAAAAAUAAAAAUCUCACAAUGCACUAUAAUUACCUCUGACUAACCAAAAUAGAAAGAGGCACACAAACACGCAUAUAAUUGCUUGUCUCACCCUCUCUAUUAUUCUCUGCAGUGAGUUGAGGGCUGGUCUAGUCUGUCCAGUGUGUGAGCAUGGGCUGAGAGACCCAGUCUCGUUUAACUGUGGACACAGAGUUGGGUUACUUACAAAACCCUGAUAGGGUUACUUACAAAGCAUUUGCUAAUCAUUAGUUAAGUCUUUUGCAGGCAAGGAUCUAAAGUGAGGACUGAUACCUGAUAAAACCUUAAGGCUGGCCAUGCCAUAAGUAGCCAUUCCAGCAGUAGCUGAUGCUCCACAAAGGGCUCAAAAUGACCUGAAAUAUGCCUCGCUUAUCAACAGUAAAAUAAUACGGACACAACACAGAGGGCGCGGAAGACACAUUUCAGUUGAAGGCAUUCAGUUGUACAACUGACUAGGUAUCUCCCUUUCUAUUUCCCCUUUCCCCUUAUGCCAGGUUCAGCACUGAACUUGUCAGAAAAAACCCUUGGUUGUUUAUGUUGUUUUAGGCCUAAUAUUAUAUGCCCACGGGGAGCAAUUAUGGUGCCCGUUACUGUAUUUAGACAGAGAUCAUUUUAAAACAAGUGGUCUCAUUUUAUUAGAAUUUGAUUAGAACUAUUAUCUGUCUUUUUAGGUCUUACCAAUAUUGAAUGUAAUCUUGCUCAUUGAUAACAAUUGGCAUUUUCAUGGCUCAGACAAAAAAGCUUUUUACAUUAGGCCUAUCUAUGUCAGUGUGAAGCAGAGGAGGCUGGUGCGAGGAGCUAUAGGAGGAUGGGUUCAUUGUAAUGGCUGGAAUGGAAUAGAUGGAACGGUAUCAAACACAUCGUUCCAUUAAUUCCAUUCCAGCCAAUAAAAUGAGCCCUUCCUCCUAUAGCUCCUCCCACCAGCCUCCUCUAGUGCAAAUGCUAUGUUUAACAAUAUAUUUCCAAAAUGACGCCAUGCAAUUACUUAGACCAAUGUGGACUCCAAACAUGUUCAACAUAUUUAGCAAAUAUGGGAUAGGCCUACAUUUUAUUUCUGUAGGCUAUUUAACAAACUAGGCUAUAAUGGAUAACAUUCGAAUUGUAGUUGAUGACAUCUGAAUACAUAAGACCGUAAAUACACAACUUAAUGCUACCACAUAUUUGGCCAUGGAGCACUUUCUUACACACCUACAACUUGUUAAUUCAUCAAAACCCAGCCCUUUCGAGCCACCGCCAGCUACUGCGAGCAUAAUUUUGGUUGUGAAAAUAUCUUAAAUAUUCCUGACACCCCCCCCACCCCAAACCUAUAGCGCAUAAAAUUACCAUUGCUUUAGGUUUGUUAAAAUAGAGCCCGAAUGUUAAAGGAAAUAUUUACAUUUUCCAGAUGUAGCAAAGAAAGUACAUUUUCUUUAACAUUCUGUGUUUUGUCCGUAUUGUUAGUUUCAUACAAUAGUUUAAUACAUUUUUAAAUGUAGGAAUAGCUUAAUUAAUGAUGAAUAAACUAUUUACUAAUCCAUCAAAUGUUUUAUUACCAGGUGUUAUCAUAAAAUGCUACCCUUGUCGUGCGUGCGUGCUGGUUAAACGCUCUCCCUUCCUCCCUCUCACUCUCUCUGCAGUGAGUUGGAGGUCAUCCACAAUGCCAGUCCUCAGUGUCCGGAGACCUAAAACACAUCCUUUCUGAAGCGCACUACCACACAAACUUGGAGGACACUUUAUGGUGUUUCUCCCACAUCCACUCAUAAUGCAUUUAAAUCAACAAAAAAUGAAACUUAAUUGAAUUAUUAUUAUUUUUGAAGAUGAAAACUACUGAAACAAGAGAGACAUUUCAAUGAACAUUUUACCUUGUAGAGUAGCUAAUGAGUAAGAAGUAUCAUAAGUAUUUAGUUUGAUGACUGUGAUAAUUGGAAGGUACUAGAUUGAGGGCAACAUUUUCAUAGUGCAAAAACAUUGUGCAGAUUGCAGAACUCGUUAAUCUUAUUGUAAUCUGGCAGCGUGAUUUCAUUUGAAACAGUUUUAAAAAUGUGCCUUUGUAAAGAGGCGACUAUUUAUGCAUUGCUCAGUUUACUAAACUCUAGUUAAAUAAUUGCCUCUUUCUAAUGCACAUUGUUAAAGAAAUGUUCAAGGCAGAUCAUCCUACAGUAGUAGUAUUGGAAGACUGCUCGGUAUAUAAACAGUAUCAAAAGAGGGGAUUUGGCCCAGAGAUUGGGAAAAGGGUAGAUGAAUAUGGACUCAGGUACCUUGAUAUAGGGCCAUCUGUGGCAAUAGGAAAUGUGCCACCAUGGUUCUAUACAAAGCCAUAUGUUAAUCUUAGCCUGAUCAAAGAAAAGAAACAGUGGUUUGAAGAAAAUAUAGGAACAAUAGUGGAUCAAUAUAUUGGUAACCAGUUUUAUUCUUGCUUGGCAGUAUACACAGAUGGUUCAAAUGAUUCCAUGAAUGGGAAGACUGGAGCAGGUGUAUUCCUGAGUUCAAUGUUAAUCCAUGCAACAAAUUAUUUAUCUGUAUAUGCAACAGAAAUGGUGGCUAUAAUUGUUGGAUUGCAAUGGCUCGAGGAGGGGCAACCAAGAAGAACAGUAAUAUGUUCAGGUUCUACAUCAGUUUUGUGCAGUCUAAGAUCUGGGAAAUUGGAGCGUGAGGAUUUAUGGAUAGAAAUAAUGACUAUGUCGUUAGGGUUAACAAGAAAUGCGAUAGAGGUUCAAUUUAGUUUGAUUCCUGUUCAUAAAGGAGUCAAUGGGAAUGAUAUAGUAGAUAAAAUAGCAAAGAAAGCAGUGAAAAAUUAUUUUGUGGAUAUAGGCCUACAGGUGCAAUUAGGGAGAGGAGAGUAAAACAUUCAUAUCAAACACUGUUGGAUUGUUGUCAGAGGCAAUGGGAUGCAAGUGGUAAAGGGGAGACAGUUUUAUAGAACAAGGAAAUCUGUAUGAGAGAAAAUGUAAUGGGAACAGAAAAGAGGACGUUACGUUGUCUAGGAUGAGAUUAGGACAUAUGGUAUUGAAUUAUUCUGAAAUUGAUAGGGAACCAUGGUACUGGUAUGUGAGAUGGGCUUAUGGUAAAAGAAACGGUUGAACAUGUAGUAUUAUGUUGUGAAUUUUAUGACGUAGAGAGUUAGUUUGCUAGGGUCAGAGGGGUUGGGAUGGGAUUUCGGUGGGGGGAUGGAAGUAGUAAGCUUUGUAGGGCUUUAUUUGAUUUGGUUAGAAACACAGGGUCAGAUAAGAGAAUAUCUAUGUAUUGGGAGGCUGUGACCGGUCUCACACCCCAGUACAGUAGGGUGCGCGGUGUAUGCACCUUUCAGUUGGCUGCGAUCCUCCAAUACAAUUUUUAUCACAGGUCAUCUGAGACUGCUUCCAGAUGUGAGAAACCGCAGAAAGGCAAUGCAAGUAUUAAUGCAGAAUUCACACAUACCACAUCCUUAUAAAUAAGUAUUUAUCCAAUUUUUAUGACAUGCAACUUGUUCAGAUUUGUAUUAUCAUAAAUUGACAUUUUUUGCAAUGCCGGGGGCCUUUUUUGUAUACCUUUUUAGUUAGAAGCACUGGGAUUUCAUUUCUCAAUGGCUUACCUGGAAAGUCCAAAUAAUUCACAAUACAGUGGUUAAGAGACCCCGACGUAACAUAACCUCACAGGUUAUAUGAGUUGUAUUUUCUCUAUUCUUGCAGAUUGUCUGGAAUUGUACUCACAAGUCAGUGCUUUGAAUUCCUGGCCUCCAUUCUCCAGUUUGCAGACUCACCCCUGAGAGACCUGGACCUGAGUAAUAUUGCGUUUCAUGACAAAGAGAUGUUAUUCUUUGCUGGAUUGAAACCUCCACACUGUAAACACUAUGGUCAGUUGUUUUGGAGAGGUCCAGAUAGGAUAUCAUGAUAACAACCCCCAAAGAGUGACUAACAAACUGUUCAACAAAGUUUCAAAUUGUCACCCUGAGAGCAUGUUUUGAGAAAUCAAACAGUAAUGGACACGCACAGUAAUGAAAGCAUGUCAUUAAAUGUGUACAUGCUUUGUGUUCAUGUUCACUUCACACAUAUGCUUUCUUUGCUGAAAUAAAUCAACAAUAGAGUAAGACGACCUGUAUUUAAUCACUUGAUGUCUCUUUCUUUGUAGACUCUCAAGCUGUAAAUUCACAGAAUCGUCUUGUACGUCUUUGAUUAUUGCUCUAAUGCCAGUGAGCUCACCACCUACAGCCGCAAUCUGGGGCACAGAAGUUACCGGUUGGGCGUUGUGUUGCUUUCUGCUAGGCUGGAGGAUCCACACUGUAAACUGGAGAAACUGAGGAUGAGUCGGUGUUCUCUGACAGAAACAUGUUGUUACACUUUGGGCUCAGUUCUCGGCUCAAACUCCUCUCCCCUGAGAGAGCUGGACCUUCACAGAGGAAGGCUGUGCUUCUCUGGCUUCUGCUCUGAGGUCUAACCCUUCCCAUUUGAGAGAGGUGGACCUGAGCUUCAAUCACCUAGGAGACUCAGGAGUGAAGCUGCUCUCUGCUAGACUGGCAGAUCCAUACUGUAGACUGGAUAAACUCAAUUUGAACCAAAAUGAAGAGUUGUGGUUUAAACCGGAGCUGCUUAAGAAGUAUGCCACUGAAGUCACUCUGGACCCAAACACACAAAACAAAUUUUUCUCACUGAUUGAGGAAAACAGAAAGCUAACCUGGGUGGAUGAAGAACAGACAUAUCCUGAUAACCCACAGAGAUUUGAGGAAAUGCCACAGGUGCUGUGUAGAGCGCCUCUGACCAAACGGCAUUACUGGGAGGCAGAUUUGAUUGGGAAUUGUGACAUUGUGGCAUAUAAAUGUAUUAGCAGGUGGGGAAAGGCAACAGAUUGUAAGCUGGGAGCCAAUGACAGGUCUUGGUGUAUGUUCUUCGAAGAAAAGAACCGUUACCUUGCCUGCCACAAUAAUAAAGAGAAUCAUAUUCUUUACCCAACCACCAGACCUGAUCCCCAAAGAGAAGGAGUAUAUCUGGACUGGCCAGAUGGCACUCUGUCCUUCUACAGUGUCUCCUCUGACACCAUGACCCGUCUGUACACAUUCCAGGCCAAAUUCACUGAGCCCUUCUACCCAGCUUUUGGGGUAACGGACACAUUAAUGGACUCAUCCGUGUCCCUUGCGGUUACCAGUAGUCCAGUGCCAGCUGAAAAUCCUGCAUAGUCUUGGAUAAGGUACAAUUCCUUAUGUUGGAGGGUAUUUUGUUUCACAGCCUUUUCUAUUACAUUUUCAUGACUGAAUUUGAAUGAUGGAAAAGUUGAAUGGGACAUUAUUUUUUCCAUCAUUGACAGUUAGCUUGUAACUUUGGGUUUAAAAUAAAGAACAACUGUUGGUUGUUGCAGUCAUAGAAACGUAAAGAAUGAAAUGGUAAUUCGGUGGUGUAAAGUUAUUUUAUAUGACAGCGACAAGGGUUUUAAUUUGCCUAUGAUUUGGCCAUGUCUGUUUGUAAAUAAAUAUUUGUGUUAUCUCAUAGCAUAUGCACAGUGUAAAGCACUAGGUAACUUUUCUGCGUGUUUGUGAAAAUGCAUAUUAACAUUUUUUUUUAAUGGAUUAAAAGACACUUGCUUCUA